UCGCGUUUGAAAUAUAAACUUUUUGAGGGUCUUUACUGCUUCUGCUUCAUCGGGAAGGUCAGAGAUUUGAAUCGCAAAUCUUAGUUGCGAUGAAUUUGGGAGAUUUGAACAAGGUGUGGGAGAUUAAAGCGUUGAAGAAGAAACCAAAGGAAGAAGAAGCGAGGAAGAUUCUGGAGAAAGUGGCCAAUCAGGUUCAGCCUAUUAUGACCAGACGCAAAUGGCGUGUCAAGCUUCUCUCCGAAUUCUGCCCGACAAAUCCGAGGCUUUUGGGGGUGAAUGUGAAUAGGGGGGUUCAAGUGAAACUCAGGCUUCGGAAGGUAAACAAUGAUGGAGAUUUCUUAACCUAUCACCAAGUUCUUGACACUAUGCUCCACGAGCUUUGCCACAACGUCCAUGGUCCUCACAACGCUUCUUUCUAUAAGCUUUGGGAUGAUCUUCGUAAGGAAUGUGAGGAGUUGAUGUCAAAGGGUAUCACAGGGACAGGCCAAGGCUUUGAUGUUCCUGGCCAGCGCUUGGGUGGCUCUUCUCGUCAGCCUCUCCUCUCUUCUCUUCGGGCAACAGCAGCUAAAGCAGCAGAGAAAAGAGUGCGUGCGGGCAAUCUGUUACCCUCAGGACCUCAUCGUCUUGGUGGUGACAGCAGCAUCAUGUCAGAUCUUACCCCAGUCCAGGCUGCUGCAAUGGCUGCUGAAAGGCGUUUCCUUGAUGACAUCUGGUGUGGUUCCCAAUCCGCAGAGGCUUUAGAUGAGAAAGAGAAUGAUGGUGACGCAUGUGCGGAGCCUGUUUCGGUAAGGGAAACUACUUGUACGAGCUUGAAUGCAAGGUCAGUAAAAAGAAGCAGCAGCUGCUCAAAUGCUUCCAAUUCAUCUUCCAGUCACCAGUGGGGAUCAGAUGUCAUUGAUUUAACACAGGAAACUUCUUUCGAAAGUAGAUGUACUAAAAGAAGUUGCAGCCAAGGCGAUCAGGGUCCUUCGUCUUCCUCCAGAGAUGAACCGAUAUCUGGUGUCAAGAAAUCAUCAGAAACUUCACCAUCCACUGCAAACCAAGGCAGAGAAGAAGCUGCAAUGUGGGAGUGUGCAGAAUGUACCUUAUUGAACCCAUUGUUUGCUCCAAUAUGCGAGCUCUGCACUGCAGCAAAGCCAAAGGAAAGGGAGAUGAAGCACAAAGUCUGGUCUUGCAAGUUCUGCACGCUUGAAAACGAGGUGAAGAUGGAGAAAUGCGAGGCUUGUGGUCAGUGGAGAUACUCGUAUGGACAACCAUUGGCGACCCGUGCUCCUAAUGUCGGCACUUGAGGGAGUUCUUAAUGUUCUACAUGGACUUAAAGUCUAAUCUUAGCCAUUUAUUUUUUGUAGCUAAAGAGAGAUGACAACAAGUUUCUCCAAGUUCUGUAAACCGAGUCCCAACUUGGUCAUGUGGCUGCGUUAUGUUGUGUAGGAUUACACUUUUUAACUCCAUUUGGUUUUGCAUUUGGAUAACAAUUUUUGAGGAUUUCUACACAGAUAGUCUCUCUGCUCUCGUCCCUUCCAUCGUCUAUCCAUGGUGGUUUCAGUUCCUCUGCGAGGUUUUUAUGCUUGAAGGUUUUGAGGACGCUGUCGCUGAGGAAUCUAAGGUAUGCUCAUUCUAUUUUGCCAGUCUCAGAAUCUCUAUUGUUUGCUUUGCAACAUGUUUUUUGGUAUCAUUUGUAUCUUUGCCAUCCUUCUGUGUUAGAUAAAACUGCCUAAACUUCCCAAUUCAGCCUGAACUUGAGGUUUUUGUCUUCUGUUUUGAACAAUCAUGUUGAUACCUCUGUGUGUGUGAAUUCACGUAUCGAGUUCUUCAACUAGUGUAGAUGCAGAUAAGGUAUAAGUUGUACUCUCAGAACAGACUACAAUAGCUCAAAAUAUAUAUCGAACUUGUCCAAAAUAUCUUGUCCAUUGUGGAAUGGAUUGCCUGAAUUCAUUACUAUUACUCUUAGAAAAGCUACGUGGUGAAACUUAAAACACUGCUCUUUUCCGUUUGUUUCAUGGUGAGGCGGGCCUUUAACUUAGUGUGUUGGUGCGUGUGUUGUGUGGUUUGAUCAAAAUGUGCAUUGCCAUACAGCGUUAUUCCAUGAGAAUCUUUAGAUGAGAAUGGGAUUGUUCUGAAGAUAUUUUGACUAAGUCCUUGUCUGUUAGUUGUUGGUUGCAUCUUCUUUUAUUUCUUUUUAUGUUAGAUGUAUCUCUUUUACUCGAACUGGACUAUGGAUUUGGCACAUCAGAGACUAUGUUUUAAGGAUUUCUGUAGAGAUUCAAUGUCUUUAAAAGGUGAUGUUGUCUCAGCUAGCAGAUGGCACCAAAGCAACAGAUUUGGAUCAUAUUUUAGAGAACUCUAGCCGACUGCUCAAACUAAUUUUGCAAAUUGAUCGUCCUCUGGUGUUGAUGUGGAAGGCAAGCUUUGAAUAUAACAAAAUCGUAGUUAAUAUUGCAUUGGUAAUACUCAUAUUUCUCAACACUUAAUAAUUUAUUAUGGGGGACAACUGAAAGGAAAGAGUGGGGAGAUGAUGUUGAUUUCUCCUUCCAACUAGAUAAGAUAAAUUACUUACUUAAAUCGUUGGUUUACAGAAAUGUGGAUUACUCAAAGUUUAUAAGGUACAUUGUUUGUUCCCACAGAUAUAAACUCAUAUUCUUGUUACUGCUGUUAACAACAAGAGAUAUCCUGGAGUAUAUUCGACAUUUCUUCAAUGCUCUGUGAGAACCAGACUAAACAGUAAUGUAGAUAUUUUGUGUGUUUCGAGAAACUGAAGAGCCAUUUUUAUUUCAACGGUUGAACAGAAAACCAAAUAAUGUAUGUGUGGUUGGGAGGAAUGAAAAUGAAAGAUUGGGAUGUGA